CUUUUAGGAGUCCGGAGGAGAGGUAAGGACUAGGAGCUCAGCACAGGUCGAGGGAUUUCAGAAGGGAAAGGGACAAAACGGGGCUGAUCCCAACCUGGUGUCUUUCCCUGGUUUCCUCAGAAAGACCCUGGGGCAGGCCUCAGGGUGACAAAGAGCGCUCUGUGUAGGUGAGAGGAAUCCGGGCAAAGUCGCGGGUCCCUGGGAAAGACUGGCUUUGAAAGUCCCGGGCUUGAGAUAGGUCUGGGGCGGGAAAGCCCAGUUCCCCGCUACCCCGCGCUCAUUUCACUUCUCUCAACUUGUGCCAGGUCUUCUUGCCUGGAUACUCAUGACGCGGCCCCAGUUCGCACUCCCAUUGCUUGUCCUGUGUCUAGAGAAGCCAAUCAGCGUCACCGCGGUCCCUGGCCUGUCCUGGCCACGGACCCGCUGGGACUUCUAUUCUCCAGACCCUGAGGAUGCGGGUCGUGAUGCCCCGAACCCUCCUCUUGCUGCUGUCGGGGGCCCUGGCCGUGACCCAGACCUGCGCGGCCUCGGGGAGCCCCGGUACUUGGAAGUCGGCUACGUGGACGACACACAGUUCGCGCGGUUCGACAGCGACGCCUCGAGUCCGAGGAUGGAGCCACGCGUGCAGUGGUUGAAGCAGGAGGCGCCGGAGUAUUGGGAGCAGGAGACGCGGGGCGCCAAGGACACCGCACAGACUUUCCGACUUAGCCUGAACACGCUGCGCGGCUACUACAACCAGAGCGAAGCCGGGUCUCACACCAUCCAGUGGCUGUCUUCCUGCGAAGUGGGGCCCGAUUGGCGCCUCCUCCGAGGAUACUGGCAGUUCGCCUAUGACGGCGAGGAUUACAUCGCCCUGAACGAGGACCUGCGCUCUUGGACCGCGGCGGACACGGCGGCGCAGAUCACCCGCCGCAAGUGGGAGGCUGCCGGAGCAGCCGAGCAUCAAAGGAACGACCUGCAGGUCACGUGCGUAGAGUGGCUCCGGAAGUACUUGGAGAGGGGGAACAAGACGCUGCUGCGCACAGACCCUCCGAAGACACACAUCACCCACUACCCCACUUCUGACCAUGAUGUCACCCUGAAGUGCUGGGCCCUGGGUUUCUAUCCUGCGGAGAUCACCCUAACCUGGCAGCGUGAUGGGGAGGACCUGACCCAGGACCCGGAGUUUGUGGACACUAGGCCUGGGGGAGAUGGGACCUUCCAGAAGUGGGUGGCUGUGGUGGUGCCUUCUGGAGAGGAGCAGAGAUACACGUGCCAUGUGCAGCAUGGGGGGUUGCCCAAGCCCCUCAUGCUGAAAUGGGAGUCCCCUCCUCAGCUCAGCAUUCCCAUGGUGGGCAUUGUUGCUGGUCUGGUUUCCUUUGUGGUCAUCAGUGCUGUGGUGGUUGGAGCUGUCAUAUGGAGGAGGUAGAGCCAAGGUGGAAGAGAAAGGAGUUAUGCUCAGUCUGCAUGUAGUGACAGUGCCCAGGGCUCUCUCCACUGCUAAAGUGUGAGCCAGCUGCCUCGUGGGGGACUGAGUGAUGCAAGAUUUGUUCACUUUCCCACUUUGUGACCAAUGCCCCUGAUAUCUCUUUCUACAAAGGGCUUCGGCAUGUGUCCUCGUUCCUAUUACCAUAAUGUGAGGAGGUGGGGAGACUGCCCCCCGCCUCCAUGACCCCACCCUACACUGACCUGGGUUCUCUUUCCUCGUCUGCUUUCAUGAUCCAGUAGAGGGAGAGUGGGCCACCUCCAUCCCUGUCUUUACUUUAUGUUUCACUGAGCUACAACUUCUUACUUCCUUGUUGAACGUAGGGCUCUGGAUGUGAAUUUGUUUUUCCAGUUCUGGUCAUGAGGAGUUGAUCAGUUAGUUAAAGAAGAAGACUCCUAAAGUUUGAGAGGGGAAAGAAAUGGAAACCCUGAGAACCUCCCAGAAGCUGCAGGUUUGGUGUGCCGAGUCUGCUCUGGGUGGGGACAGGAGAAAGCUGUGGGGGGCCUAGCGUGGUGGAGCCUCAUGCCCAGUUGGUACAACAUGGAUGUGACAUGGUCACUGUUCAGCUGGGGAACCUCUUUGCGCUUUUGUCUUUGUCCCUCCAGUAGCACCUGCCUUUCCGGGACUGUGAUCACUCAGGAUAUCACCUGGAUAUCUGGAUAUUGCCCAGACCUUGUCCUGCCUCCAGGACUAUGGGCAACAAGACAUUGUAUGGCCGGGUCAGCUGAGGCUCAGGCCUGGGUCGGGCCUCAGUCCCGUCUCUGGGUGUUUAUUCGUUGUUUCUUUGUUUCUGUAGAGGAUUAGGCCCGUUCUCUUUUUUGUGUGGGAGUUCUGGUCUAAUUCACCUGUGGGUGUCUCCUCGGUGACAGCAGAAGGAGAUGUUUGGCCUGUCAGCGUCUGCACAAGGCCCUGGGUGGCCCUGUGCAUAGGAAUCUGUAGUAUCCAGAGGUUAUUUUCAGGCUCAUUCAGGUCUUGCCCUCCUUCUCGGGCUUGAUUGUUCUUCCCAUCUUUUCUGAAGUCUUCUGAGAGGAGCAGAUUCUAGCAGACAGGAAGCAUGCCAUAAUUUCUUAUUUUAAAUUAGUUCUUGUUCUGUUUCCAUCCUCUGCUUGGCCACCCUCUGUCCUGGUGAUCCUGGUGCUGGCUCCAGCUCCAAGUCAUGGAGUUAUGAAGCAGAGUCUUCUUAGAUUUAUAUUUGGUUGGGAAAUAGCACCUGUGAAUCGAGGAUGGUUUUUGAAAAUGGGCAUCUCCUUGGUGUGCAGGGGAGUUGGUGUGAGAGUGGGGACAGGAGGGGGAGGGCAGUGCUGUGAGAGGAGCACAGGGGCACUAAUGGCAGUGUGAAGGGUGAUUGUGCUGUUGCUGCCACAGAGCUGCUGGAGAUACUGCCUCCAGAUUAGGGAGGUGCUCUGCACCGAUUGCUCCUUCACUGUGUGUGUUGUGUGCAAGAUAUAUGACACACUGUUUUCUGCAUCUGGGAAAUACGAAAGAAGUUUCUGUGUUUAGGACAAGGCGCUGCUGCUGGUCUUUACAUCACACUUUCAGUAACAAGAAUGGAGAUGAGGAUUCCCAAACGGCUGUGCAUCGGCCUCACUUGUAGGGCUCGUUAAAAUAAGCGAUUCCUUGAUCUUGCGCCGAGGACUCUGAGUCUGUGGGUCCGGGGAGAGGCCUGUGCAUUUUGUGAGAGGUCUGGCGCUCAGCCAGAUCUGGAGCCAGUGAGGUCAGCGAUCAGAGCAGCCAGCCUGGGGAGGGGCAUUAAAGCCACAUUUAAAUGUG